rnacentral:rRNA from 1 species
AUUGAACGCUGGCGGCAUGCCUUACACAUGCAAGUCGAACGGAGUGGCGAACGGGUGAGUAAUGUAUCGGAAUCUGCCUAGUAGUGGGGGAUAACGUCGGGAAAGGGUAGCUAAUACCGCAUACUAUCGGAGGGGCCAAUUUCGGAUUAGCUGGGUGGUGGGGGAAGGGCUCACCAAGGCGACGAUCCGUAGCUGGUUUGAGAGGAUGAUCAGCCACACUGGAACUGAGCCACGGCCCAGACUCCGACGGGAGGCAGCAGUGGGGAAUAUUGGACAAUGGGUGAAACCCUGAUCCAGCCAUCCCGCGUGUGGGAAGAAGGUCUUCGGAUUGUAAAGCACUUUUAGCAGGGAGGCGGUACCUACAGAAUAAGCACCGGCUAACUACGUGCCAGCAGCCGCGGUAAUAC